AGAGUUUGAUCCUGGCUCAGGACGAACGCUGGCGGCGUGCUUAACACAUGCAAGUCGAGCGGAAAGGCCCUUCGGGGUACUCGAGCGGCGAACGGGUGAGUAACACGUGAGUAACCUGCCCCUAGCUCUGGGAUAGCUCCGGGAAACCGGGAUUAAUACCAGAUACAACCACUUUAGACAUCUGUCGUGGUGGAAAGGAUUCCGGCUAGGGAUGGGCUCGCGGCCUAUCAGCUUGUUGGUGGGGUAACGGCCUACCAAGGCGACGACGGGUAGCCGGCCUGAGAGGGCGACCGGCCACACUGGGACUGAGACACGGCCCAGACUCCUACGGGAGGCAGCAGUGGGGAAUAUUGCGCAAUGGGCGAAAGCCUGACGCAGCGACGCCGCGUGGGGGAUGAAGGCCUUCGGGUUGUAAACCCCUUUCAGCAGGGACGA
rnacentral:rRNA from 1 species